AACCAUUUUGCUGAUACAGUUCAUGGUAAAAUCAUGUUACUUGAGAAAGAUGGGCAUUUUUAAUCUAUAUAUGUAGACUGACAUUUUUAAUCUAUAUAUGUAGACUAUGAGGAUGUAAGUUGAGUAAAUGGCAUAGUCAAUAUGAUAUUUUUAGCAGUUGAAGUACAACAUGAAGAAUUCAGAUGUUUCUUCCAUUAUUGAAUGUGGUUACAUUGAUUUGUUUUGUCUAAUUUGCCACAUGCUAUAUAUUUGAACUUAUUACCCCAUUAUGGUAUACUUGAAAGUCAUCCUUUAGAAGACUUUGAAUUUCGAACAUCAAUAUCUCUGAUAUUUGCAUUUUACGCAGUCAUCUCUCUGAUUGGCACGAAGAAAGCUAAGCAAUAUCGUGAGAUGAUAAGUCGCUAAGAGAAGCUGCUCAAGAUGAUCAUGAGUUCACUUCAGAAAAUCAGGGAAUGUCAGCAGAUGUUAUCACUAAAGCAUUUUUGGCAACAGAAGAAGAAUUUCUUGCUCUGGUAAAGAAGCAAUCGCAGCACAAACCACAACUAGCUUCGGUUGGAUCUUGCUGUUGGGUAGGCGUAAUAUAUAACGGAGAGCUCUAUACUGCAAAUGCAGGAGACUCUUGAGCAGUGUUGGGUAGACUGGACGAGGCUACAAAAGAGAUUAAAGCGGUUCAACUAUCCUAUGAGCACAAUGAUAGCCUAGAAUCUGUCAGAGAGGAGCUACGCUCAUUGCAUCCCGAUGAUCCAUAAAUCGUACUGAUGAAGCACACGGUCUGGCGCAUGAAGGGUCUCAUUCAGUUCAUGCCUUCUUGAGCCUAAGCAGGUAAAACCCAAUUGGCUUUCCUUUACAUGUGCGACCAGAUUUUUUUUUUCUUCAUUGCUUCAAGUAUUUGAUAACAUCAUUCGCCAUUUAGUAACUUUUAUAUUGUUAUUUUAGGACACAUUUCCAAAUUAUGCAUAUACUGUAUUUGGGUCUUCAUCUACCUUUGUUUUACCUCAUCCUUUGA